UUUUAUGGAGAGUUUGAUCCUGGCUCAGGAUGAACGCUGGCGGCGUGCCUAAUACAUGCAAGUCGAGCGAACAGACAAGGAGCUUGCUCCUUUGACGUUAGCGGCGGACGGGUGAGUAACACGUGGGUAACCUACCUAUAAGACUGGGAUAACUUCGGGAAACCGGAGCUAAUACCGGAUAAUAUUUCGAACCGCAUGGUUCGAUAGUGAAAGAUGGUUUUGCUAUCACUUAUAGAUGGACCCGCGCCGUAUUAGCUAGUUGGUAAGGUAACGGCUUACCAAGGCGACGAUACGUAGCCGACCUGAGAGGGUGAUCGGCCACACUGGAACUGAGACACGGUCCAGACUCCUACGGGAGGCAGCAGUAGGGAAUCUUCCGCAAUGGGCGAAAGCCUGACGGAGCAACGCCGCGUGAGUGAUGAAGGUCUUCGGAUCGUAAAACUCUGUUAUUAGGGAAGAACAUACGUGUAAGUAACUAUGCACGUCUUGACGGUACCUAAUCAGAAAGCCACGGCUAACUACGUGCCAGCAGCCGCGGUAAUACGUAGGUGGCAAGCGUUAUCCGGAAUUAUUGGGCGUAAAGCGCGCGUAGGCGGUUUUUUAAGUCUGAUGUGAAAGCCCACGGCUCAACCGUGGAGGGUCAUUGGAAACUGGAAAACUUGAGUGCAGAAGAGGAAAGUGGAAUUCCAUGUGUAGCGGUGAAAUGCGCAGAGAUAUGGAGGAACACCAGUGGCGAAGGCGACUUUCUGGUCUGUAACUGACGCUGAUGUGCGAAAGCGUGGGGAUCAAACAGGAUUAGAUACCCUGGUAGUCCACGCCGUAAACGAUGAGUGCUAAGUGUUAGGGGGUUUCCGCCCCUUAGUGCUGCAGCUAACGCAUUAAGCACUCCGCCUGGGGAGUACGACCGCAAGGUUGAAACUCAAAGGAAUUGACGGGGACCCGCACAAGCGGUGGAGCAUGUGGUUUAAUUCGAAGCAACGCGAAGAACCUUACCAAAUCUUGACAUCCUUUGACAACUCUAGAGAUAGAGCCUUCCCCUUCGGGGGACAAAGUGACAGGUGGUGCAUGGUUGUCGUCAGCUCGUGUCGUGAGAUGUUGGGUUAAGUCCCGCAACGAGCGCAACCCUUAAGCUUAGUUGCCAUCAUUAAGUUGGGCACUCUAAGUUGACUGCCGGUGACAAACCGGAGGAAGGUGGGGAUGACGUCAAAUCAUCAUGCCCCUUAUGAUUUGGGCUACACACGUGCUACAAUGGACAAUACAAAGGGCAGCGAAACCGCGAGGUCAAGCAAAUCCCAUAAAGUUGUUCUCAGUUCGGAUUGUAGUCUGCAACUCGACUACAUGAAGCUGGAAUCGCUAGUAAUCGUAGAUCAGCAUGCUACGGUGAAUACGUUCCCGGGUCUUGUACACACCGCCCGUCACACCACGAGAGUUUGUAACACCCGAAGCCGGUGGAGUAACCAUUUGGAGCUAGCCGUCGAAGGUGGGACAAAUGAUUGGGGUGAAGUCGUAACAAGGUAGCCGUAUCGGAAGGUGCGGCUGGAUCACCUCCUUUCU
rnacentral:rRNA from 1 species